GGAGGGAGGGAGGACGGGACACAGACAGACAGAGAGAGAAAGAGAGACGCCUCUAUCCUCCGCCAGCACUCCACUGGAUUUAGUGCAUUUGGACGGACGCGAUCUCCCGGUACCUGCAGCCGUGCGCGCGCGGAUCGGGAUACGGAGCACGCGGCCGUGGGUUUAUUACACCCGCAGCUUCACCUCCAUCCUUUCUGUCGCAGCGGGAUCCGAUCGGUGACGUUAUUUAAUCGACUGGGGAAAUAUAUUUACAUCCGGGAUCCGGGGGACUGUAUGAAAACGGGGGUUUAUUCCCGACUCCUCUGAACGCUGGAUGUGUAUGCGCCUAUACCGCUGAUGCCACGGUAAGGACCCACUCUCUAUUCCUGCACAUAUUCUCUUUUUAGGGGG
ensembl:lncRNA